rnacentral:rRNA from 1 species
UGGGGAAUCUUGGACAAUGGGCGAAAGCCUGAUCCAGCCAUGCCGCGUGGAUGAUGAAGGCCCUAGGGUUGUAAAAUCCUUUCGUUGGGGACGAUAAUGACGGUACCCAAAGAAGAAGCUCCGGCUAACUUCGUGCCAGCAGCCGCGGUAAUACGAAGGGGGCUAGCGUUGUUCGGAUUUACUGGGCGUAAAGCGCGUGUAGGCGGGCUGGAAAGUUGGGGGUGAAAUCCCGAGGCUCAACCUCGGAACUGCCUCCAAAACUUCCAGCCUGGACUCAAGCAGAGGCAAGUGGAAUUGCGAGUGUAGAGGUGAAAUUCGUAGAUAUUCGCAGGAACACCAGUGGCGAAGGCGACUUGCUGGGCUUGUAGUGACGCUGAGACGCGAAAGCGUGGGGAGCAAACAGG